CGAUGCGGUUCUUCUUGUUG
rnacentral:misc_RNA from 1 species